UUCCGGUUGAUCCCGCCGGAGGCCAUUGCUAUCGGUGUCCGAUUUAGCCAUGCGAGUCGCACGUUCAACGUGGCGAACGGCUCAGUAACACGUGGUCAAACUACCCUACGGACCGUGAUAACCUCGGGAAACUGAGGCUAAUAACGGAUGUCGCUCCCGAGCUGGGAUGCUGGGAGCGAUAAAGCUCCGGCGCCGUAGGAUGUGACUGCGGCCGAUUAGGUAGACGGUGGGGUAAUGGCCCACCGUGCCGAUAAUCGGUACGGGUUGUGAGAGCAAGAACCCGGAGACGGACUCUGAGACAAGAGUCCGGGCCCUACGGGGCGCAGCAGGCGCGAAACCUUUACACUGCACGCAAGUGCGAUAGGGGGACACCGAGUGCGAGGGCAUAGAGCCCUCGCUUUUGUGCAUCGUAAGGUGGUACACGAAUAAGGGCUGGGCAAGACCGGUGCCAGCCGCCGCGGUAACACCGGCAGCCCGAGUGAUGGCCGCUUUUAUUGGGCCUAAUGCGUCCGUAGCCGGCCGUUCAGGUCCGUCGGGAAAUCUACUGG
rnacentral:rRNA from 1 species